AUGAACGCUAGCUACAGGCUUAACACAUGCAAGUCGAGGGGCAGCAUGGUCUUAGCUUGCUAAGGCUGAUGGCGACCGGCGCACGGGUGAGUAACACGUAUCCAACCUGCCGUCUACUCUUGGCCAGCCUUCUGAAAGGAAGAUUAAUCCAGGAUGGGAUCAUGAGUUCACAUGUCCGCAUGAUUAAAGGUAUUUUCCGGUAGACGAUGGGGAUGCGUUCCAUUAGAUAGUAGGCGGGGUAACGGCCCACCUAGUCAACGAUGGAUAGGGGUUCUGAGAGGAAGGUCCCCCACAUUGGAACUGAGACACGGUCCAAACUCCUACGGGAGGCAGCAGUGAGGAAUAUUGGUCAAUGGGCGAUGGCCUGAACCAGCCAAGUAGCGUGAAGGAUGACUGCCCUAUGGGUUGUACACUUCUUUUAUAAAGGAAUAAAGUCGGGUAUGCAUACCCGUUUGCAUGUACUUUAUGAAUAAGGAUCGGCUAACUCCGUGCCAGCAGCCGCGGUAAUACGGAGGAUCC
rnacentral:rRNA from 1 species